rnacentral:rRNA from 1 species
UACGUAGGGGGCAAGCGUUGUCCGGAUUUAUUGGGCGUAAAGAGCGUGUAGGCGGCCUGAAAGGUCAGCUGUGAAAACUCGAGGCUCAACCUCGAGACGUCGGUUGAAACCAUCUGGCUAGAGUCCGGAAGAGGAGUGUGGAAUUCCCGGUGUAGCGGUGAAAUGCGCAGAUAUCGGGAAGAACACCCGUGGCGAAGGCGGCACUCUGGGACGGUACCGACGCUGAGACACGAAAGCGUGGGGAGCGAACAGG